GUUCACAGGAAAAGUUUCUGUCUCAGGCAAAGAGCUUCUUGUCCUAUUCGCUAUUCCCAGCUGCAUUCUGCCUUACUGACAGUCUUACUGAUGGCCUUUUUGGCAUGGAUUCAGUGAAAUUUAAACCCAGCAGAGUGUAGAAGCAAUUCCUUGGACUCUUCAGUUGUGACAUUUGCCUUUUUGGCUGACAUGGGAGAUUGAAGUAGAGAUGCUAAGGUGUGAAGGGUAUAAAAGUAGAAAAGUUCUCCCUAGACGAAGAAGCAGAUCAAGAAGAAUCAAAUAGACAGAAAACGUCCAGAAACCAUAUCCUGUGUGGGUAGAAAGGAGAUGUCCUAGAUCCUAUUUUGUGUUAUUCCAGUGUGUUUGCAAAAGGCUGAAGUCAAGUGAAGAAUGAAGGGAGUUGGUUCAUUGCCAGACUGAAAGACUGCUGCUAUUAAUGAAAAGACGCUGUUCUCAGAAAGACACAUUUUCUGGAAUUGAGCAUGCCAUUUUGAAAGAGUCUGAAUGCUUCAUUUAGAGAGCAUUGGUGUGAGGUAGUCUGGCUUUACCAAAUCUAAAUGCCUGGGUGUGAAAAUAGAUAAAGUAUAUGAACUGGUUCUCAACACAAAAU